UACGUAGGCAGCAAGCGUUAAUCGGAAUUACUGGGCGUAAAGCGUGCGCAGGCGGUUGUGUAAGACAGAUGUGAAAUCCCCGGGCUCAACCUGGGAACUGCAUUUGUGACUGCACAGCUGGAGUGUGGCAGAGGGGGGUGGAAUUCCGCGUGUAGCAGUGAAAUGCGUAGAGAUGCGGAAGAACACCAGUGGCGAAGGCGGCUAUCUGGACGGUUUCUGACGCUAAGACGGCGAAAGCGUGGGGAGCAAACAGG
rnacentral:rRNA from 1 species